rnacentral:lncRNA from 1 species
AAACUAAUUUGGAAAGACAUCUUUCAGUUGCGAUAAUUGAGCAGCUUUCUACAGCUACAAAACUUCUGCAUUAAAAACUGAAACAAUCUUGAGAGAACAAAAUGUGACCUCUAAAUAACAGCUUACUUUAGAGACCUCUGGCAUAAAACUACAGGGAUCCUUUUACAUCCAAUAGAGGAAAACAUGUUUAUUUGCUCUACUUUAUUUCUAUCCAAAAAAGAUUAAAAAUUAAAGUAUGAUGUUCAAGUGAUUUACUAGCCGUGGGGAUGGAAGAGUAGAGACAUUCAUUCCCUCCAUCUGAAACGACCAUGGAGAAAAUAGAGUCGAGGUGUAAUAGAGCUUAAAAUCAACUUUAUUAAAUUGAAUUUCUCCAGAAUUGAGAAGACAUCUCACUUUUUCUAUAGCCUUCAGGUGCUAAAAUGACAUGCCCCAGGGAAGUAUCUGAGCAAGUCAUAGCAAAAUGUUACCAUUUUGCCUCUGGUUGGAGCACUAGAAAUCCUGCCACUCAGUUCUACUCAAGCAGAGAGGAAGACAAGAACUCCCACUGGAGAUCCCUAACCUCUGACUUCAGCCACCCUUUAGACUGGAAAGCAAAUAAGCUGGACAGACUAAACGCUAUACCCUGGAAGCUCUUUCUUUCCCUGACCUCAAGUUUGCUUUCAACAUCAAGGAAACAACUCUGGACUCAAAAUCAAGAAACCACUCAUAGACACAGAGGGUAUUUUCCAGUAAGUAUAUUCCUAGUCUUAAAAAGUAUCAGAGGGCCAGCUAAAAUUCCUAUCACAUAUUUUACAAGAUCUACAUGCAUCCUGCAUAUCAACUUGGCUAUCUGAGUGUCACUUUAUGGGGUUGGCAGAACAAAUAUCUCACCAAAGAUCAUGUCUAAAUCACUGGAAUUUAUAAAUAUUGUAACUUGUGUGGAAAAGAGGGCAUGGCAAAUGUGAUUAAGGUUAUGGUGUGGAGAUUAUUCUGGAUUAUCUAUGUGACCACAACCUAAUCAUGAGUCCUUAAAAGCAGAGAAACUUUCCUGGUGAUCAGAGAGAAAUGUGACCGGAAGUUCAGAGAGAUGUAACAUAAGAACAAUGUGUCUCUCUACUUCUAGUUCUGUGAUGUGUGGGGGCUACAUCCAAAGACUAGAGAGAGUUUUCUAGGACUUGAGAAUGGCCUCUAGCUAAUAGCCAGCAGGAAAAUGGGGACCUCUGUCCUUCAACUGCAAGAAACUAAAUUCUGCCAACAGAAGAAUGAGUAGAGAAACAGAUUCUUCCUGCAGCUUGCAAGAAGGAACACAGUUGUGCUGUCACUUUUUUUAUUCUAGGGAGACCUAUACCAGACUUCUGACCUACAACAACCCUAAGAUAAUAAAUAAAAUUGUAUGGUUUUAACUCA